GAUGAAGAACGUAGCGAAAUGCGAUAAGUAAUGUGAAUUGCAGAAUUCAGUGAAUCAUCGAAUCUUUGAACGCACAUUGCGCCCGCGAGUAUUCUCGCGGGCAUGCCUGUCCGAGCGUCAUUUCAACCCUCAGGGCCCGCCUGCUUCGGCAGGCGCGGCGCUGGUGUUGGGGAUCGGCCUAACCGCCAUCCCCCAAAUACAGUGGCGGUCUCGCUGCAGCCUCCCCUGCGUAGUAGCAACACUCGCAUGCGGAGCGCGGCGCGGCCACGCCGUAAAACCCCCGACUUUCUGAACGUUGACCUCGGAUCAGGUAGGAAUACCCGCUGAACUUAAGCAUAUCAAUAAGCGGAGGA
rnacentral:misc_RNA from 1 species